rnacentral:lncRNA from 1 species
UUGAUUAACCUUAGUGUAGUCCCCAUUGUGGACCACCAAGGGUGGGAACUGUCCCCUGUACACCAUGAUCAGUGUGGACAGAUAACCAGGGCUUUCCUGACAGGUGAGGCUCAACCCCCAUGGUCCUGAAGUUGAGUUUCCACCAACUGUGGUGAAAUAGGGGUUUAGAGGCCAAAUUAGGUUGAUGAAAAAAUAAAGCAACCAGGAGCUUCCAGGCUGAAAUAUCUACAAGACACUUCAGGGUGCUCUGUGGACAUGUCCCCAGAAGAAAGGCAAGCUUCCAAAGUCAGGGCUGUUUUUUUUUUUUUUUUAAGAGAGAGAGAGAAUUUUUUAAUAUUUAUUUUUUAGUUUUUGGUGGACACAACAUCUUUAUUUUUAUGUGGUGCUGAGGAUCGAACCCAGCGCCCGGCGCAUGCCAGGCGAACGGGGUACCGCUUGAGCCACAUCCCCAGCCCCAGGGGCUUUGAGCUCUUAAAUGUUUAUAGCCCAAGAAAUUCUCUGAGUUCUCCAUUAUGGAGCAUCCAAUAACUGUUAGGGUCGGGGUGGAACCCUAAGGAGGGUGUGCAGCCCGGAAGGAGCAGCCUUUUGUACUGGACAAAUCCCAAAUCUGUAAUGUCCGUGGAUCAAUAAAAAUUGCAUUUUUCCCCCAAGAUGCUUCUGU